AGUUCCAAAACACACAGCGGCUUCCCACUUCCUGUCUGUGCCUACAGGAUACGACCUUGGACAAAGAAGACUGGGAGUGGAAAAGAGCUGACUAGGAGAAAAAGGGAACACAAAAUGGCUCAAUAGAAAAGCCUGCACGCAUUCCCUGUCAGGGUAGCCUCCUCCUGAACCGACCAUCAUCCUCCCUAGUCACUUCUUUCCUCUGCAUAUCCUCCUUUAUCUCAUCCAUGAGCCUUUAUGGUUCUGUCCCUCGCCAUCUUCUUGCCAGUACUUCCAACAUUUUCCAUCGAAACCACCUGUUGUGCUCGGUGUCGGUAACUCACGGUUGACUUCUACUCACCAUUGAUAUUCAGGAUGUGAUAUGAAUACAAUGUGAACACAAUGUAAAUAAGAUUUGGAAGUUUGCUGAUGGCAGGUUGCUUUUUCAAUGAUGUCACAAUACAGAGACAAAGUUAUGGUGCAUGUUACUAACUACAGCCAAUGUUAUUGAUGUUUAUAGAUUAUUGUCGUAUUUGUAUGUUUAUCUGUUGUAUAUCCUAUAUGGUAUUUAAUAUUACGAUUAUGUUGACAUUAUCUUCUUUCUGUCUGUAAGAAAAAGGUAGAAAUAAAAGCCUUUCAAUUGUCUUUGAAAUGUGUGGACUGUAUAUUAGUUAAACUGAAUAAUAAAGUAAUGUAUUCUAUAUAUACAUAUAGAUACACAUAGCAAGUUAUUGUUAAAUUUAUCGGUUCUGUUCUGGAACGCACGUUCUGUUUUCUCCCCCUUUGUUCUCCAUGUUUCGUCAGCUGUGUGUGCAUGUUUCCACCACAAGCUUAUUUUUCUAAAUACUU